rnacentral:piRNA from 1 species
GGGUGAUGGCUGGCCCGGGGCUGA